rnacentral:lncRNA from 1 species
AUGGCGGCGGAUCUGGCAAGUGGCAAUGCAACCACAAUGGCGGCAGUGAGCGGCGACGACGACCAUGACGAGAUGGGGAUUUGGGACGACGCGCGGGGCUCCGACUCCUCUAACGUGAGUCUUCGAGCUGUGGCUUCGCGGCUCUCGAGCCCAGGUGCGACGCUUCAAGCGUUCCCUCUGCAAGCGCAUUUCCAGCCUGUGGAACCACACAUUCGGCUGCCAGCUCGGCUUGGCUCCGACAUGGAGCCGUGAAACCACAGGA